AACGAACGCUGGCGGCAUGCCUAACACAUGCAAGUCGAACGAGACCUUCGGGUCUAGUGGCGCACGGGUGCGUAACGCGGGGGAACCUGCCCUUAGGUUCGGAAUAACUCCCCGAAAGGGGUGCUAAUGCAGGAUAAUGUCUUCGGACCAAAGAUUUAUCGCCUUUGGAUGGGCCCGCGUUGGAUUCGCUAGUUGGUAGGGUAAAAGCACACCAAGGCGACGAUCCAUAGCUGGUCGGAGAGGAGGCUCAGCCACAAUUGGGCUGCGACACGGACCAGACUCCUACGCGAGGGAGCAGUGGGGAGUAUUAGAGAAUGGGCGAAAGCCUGAUCCAGCAAUGCCGGGUGAGUGAUGAAGGCCGUAGGGUUGUAAAGCUCUUUUACCCGGGAUGAUAAUGACGGUACCGGGAGAAUAAGCACCGGCUAACUACGUG
rnacentral:rRNA from 1 species